AUACUUACCUGGCAGGGGAGAUACCAUGAUCACAAAGGUGGUUUUCCCAGAGUGAGGCUUAUCCAUUGUACUCUUUCAUUUUUUAACUCCCUUUCCAAUAUAGAAUACUAAGUAAUUCAUAUUAAAU
rnacentral:snRNA from 1 species